GAUGAACGCUGGCGGCGUGCCUAACACAUGCAAGUCGAGCGAUUUACUUCGGUAAAGAGCGGCGGACGGGUGAGUAACGCGUGGGUAACCUGCCCUGUACACACGGAUAACAUACCGAAAGGUAUGCUAAUACGAGAUAAUAUGCUUUUAUCGCAUGGUAGAAGUAUCAAAGCUUUUGCGGUACAGGAUGGACCCGCGUCUGAUUAGCUAGUUGGUAAGGUAACGGCUUACCAAGGCGACGAUCAGUAGCCGACCUGAGAGGGUGAUCGGCCACAUUGGAACUGAGACACGGUCCAAACUCCUACGGGAGGCAGCAGUGGGGAAUAUUGCACAAUGGGCGAAAGCCUGAUGCAGCAACGCCGCGUGAGCGAUGAAGG
rnacentral:rRNA from 1 species